rnacentral:hammerhead_ribozyme from 1 species
UCACUGCUGAAGAGUCCCAUAGUAAGACGAAACGGCCGUCCAGUGA